UGGGGAAUUUUGGACAAUGGGCGCAAGCCUGAUCCAGCCAUGCCGCGUGCGGGAAGAAGGCCUUCGGGUUGUAAACCGCUUUUGUCAGGGAAGAAAUCUUCUGAGUUAAUACCUCGGGAGGAUGACGGUACCUGAAGAAUAAGCACCGGCUAACUACGUGCCAGCAGCCGCGGUAAUACGUAGGGUGCAAGCGUUAAUCGGAAUUACUGGGCGUAAAGCGUGCGCAGGCGGUUUUGUAAGACAGAGGUGAAAUCCCCGGGCUCAACCUGGGAACUGCCUUUGUGACUGCAAGGCUUGAGUGCGGCAGAGGGGGGAUGGAAUUCCGCGUGUAGCAGUGAAAUGCGUAGAUAUGCGGAGGAACACCGAUGGCGAAGGCAAUCCCCUGGGCCUGCACUGACGCUCAUGCACGAAAGCGUGGGGAGCAAACAGGAUUAGAUACCCUGGUAGUCCACGCCCUAAACGAUGUCAACUGGUUGUUGGGAAGGUUCCUUCUCAGUAACGUAGCUAACGCGUGAAGUUGACCGCCUGGGGAGUACGGCCGCAAGGUUGAAACUCAAAUGAAUUGACGGGGG
rnacentral:rRNA from 1 species